UAAAUAUCAAGAGUCUAGCGAGGGAUACUGGCCCUACGACCUAGCGGCAACCGGGUGGAAACAUCACGGUGCUACUUCCAGCCUGACGUAGUUCAGGAAGAUAUUUU
rnacentral:ncRNA from 2 species